AACGCACCUUGCGCCUCUUGGUAUUCCGAGAGGCAUGCCUGUUUGAGUGUCAUGAAACCUCAAUCCCUCGGGUUUUCCGACCUGCGGUGAUUGGACUUGGGCGUCUGCCAGUUCACUGGCUCGCCUCAAAUGUAUCAGUGGAUCUCUUUGACCCAUGCCUGACGUGAUAAGUUUCGUCUCGGCCGGUCUCUGGGGCUGCUCACAACCCACCAUACACUUUUGACAUUGACCUCAAAUCAGGUAGGGCUACCCGCUGAACUUAA
rnacentral:misc_RNA from 1 species